GGGUUGUGAGGUUAAGCGACUAAGCGUACACGGUGGAUGCCCUGGCAGUCAGAGGCGAUGAAGGGCGUGCUAAUCUGCGAUAAGCGCCGGUAAGGUGAUAUGAACCGUUAUAACCGGCGAUACCCGAAUGGGGAAACCCAGUGUGAUUCGUCACACUAUCAUUAACUGAAUCCAUAGGUUAAUGAGGCGAACCGGGGGAACUGAAACAUCUAAGUACCCCGAGGAAAAGAAAUCAACCGAGAUUCCCCCAGUAGCGGCGAGCGAACGGGGAGGAGCCCAGAGCCUGAAUCAGCAUGUGUGUUAGUGGAAGCGUCUGGAAAGGCGCGCGAUACAGGGUGACAGCCCCGUACACAAAAGCGCAUGUGCUGUGAGCUCGAUGAGUAGGGCGGGACACGUGGUAUCCUGUCUGAAUAUGGGGGGACCAUCCUCCAAGGCUAAAUACUCCUGACUGACCGAUAGUGAACCAGUACCGUGAGGGAAAGGCGAAAAGAACCCCGGCGAGGGGAGUGAAAAAGAACCUGAAACCGUGUACGUACAAGCAGUGGGAGCACCCUUCGGGGUGUGACUGCGUACCUUUUGUAUAAUGGGUCAGCGACUUAUAUUCUGUAGCAAGGUUAACCGUAUAGGGGAGCCGGAGGGAAACCGAGUCUUAAUUGGGCGUUAAGUUGCAGGGUAUAGACCCGAAACCCGGUGAUCUAGCCAUGGGCAGGUUGAAGGUUGGGUAACACUAACUGGAGGACCGAACCGACUAAUGUUGAAAAAUUAGCGGAUGACCUGUGGCUGGGGGUGAAAGGCCAAUCAAACCGGGAGAUAGCUGGUUCUCCCCGAAAGCUAUUUAGGUAGCGCCUCGUGAAUUCAUCUCCGGGGGUAGAGCACUGUUUCGGCUAGGGGGCCAUCCCGGCUUACCAACCCGAUGCAAACUGCGAAUACCGGAGAAUGUUAUCACGGGAGACACACGGCGGGUGCUAACGUCCGUCGUGAAGAGGGAAACAACCCAGACCGCCAGCUAAGGUCCCAAAGUCAUGGUUAAGUGGGAAACGAUGUGGGAAGGCCCAGACAGCCAGGAUGUUGGCUUAGAAGCAGCCAUCAUUUAAAGAAAGCGUAAUAGCUCACUGGUCGAGUCGGCCUGCGCGGAAGAUGUAACGGGGCUAAACCAUGCACCGAAGCUGCGGCAGCGAACGUAUCACCCAAGACAACUUUACGGAGUUGACGAUUGACGGAGCGAAGCGACGUCAAAGCGUUCAUUAAAGUCGAGUUGGCUUAGGGAUACGUUCGUUGGGUAGGGGAGCGUUCUGUAAGCCUGUGAAGGUGUGUCGUGAGGCAUGCUGGAGGUAUCAGAAGUGCGAAUGCUGACAUAAGUAACGAUAAAGCGGGUGAAAAGCCCGCUCGCCGGAAGACCAAGGGUUCCUGUCCAACGUUAAUCGGGGCAGGGUGAGUCGACCCCUAAGGCGAGGCCGAAAGGCGUAGUCGAUGGGAAACGGGUUAAUAUUCCCGUACUUGGUGUUACUGCGAAGGGGGGACGGAGAAGGCUAUGUUGGCCGGGCGACGGUUGUCCCGGUUUAAGCGUGUAGGUGUGUGUUCCAGGUAAAUCCGGUUCACUUUAACACUGAGGCGUGACGACGAGGCACUACGGUGCUGAAGCAACAAAUGCCCUGCUUCCAGGAAAAGCCUCUAAGCAUCAGGUAACACGAAAUCGUACCCCAAACCGACACAGGUGGUCAGGUAGAGAAUACCAAGGCGCUUGAGAGAACUCGGGUGAAGGAACUAGGCAAAAUGGUGCCGUAACUUCGGGAGAAGGCACGCUGACACGUAGGUGAAGUGAUUUACUCAUGGAGCUGAAGUCAGUCGAAGAUACCAGCUGGCUGCAACUGUUUAUUAAAAACACAGCACUGUGCAAACACGAAAGUGGACGUAUACGGUGUGACGCCUGCCCGGUGCCGGAAGGUUAAUUGAUGGGGUCAGCGCAAGCGAAGCUCCUGAUCGAAGCCCCGGUAAACGGCGGCCGUAACUAUAACGGUCCUAAGGUAGCGAAAUUCCUUGUCGGGUAAGUUCCGACCUGCACGAAUGGCGUAAUGAUGGCCAGGCUGUCUCCACCCGAGACUCAGUGAAAUUGAACUCGCUGUGAAGAUGCAGUGUACCCGCGGCAAGACGGAAAGACCCCGUGAACCUUUACUAUAGCUUGACACUGAACAUUGAGCCUUGAUGUGUAGGAUAGGUGGGAGGCUUUGAAGUGUGGACGCCAGUCUGCAUGGAGCCGACCUUGAAAUACCACCCUUUAAUGUUUGAUGUUCUAACGUGGACCCGUUACCCGGGUUGCGGACAGUGUCUGGUGGGUAGUUUGACUGGGGCGGUCUCCUCCUAAAGAGUAACGGAGGAGCACGAAGGUUGGCUAAUCCUGGUCGGACAUCAGGAGGUUAGUGCAAUGGCAUAAGCCAGCUUGACUGCGAGCGUGACGGCGCGAGCAGGUGCGAAAGCAGGUCAUAGUGAUCCGGUGGUUCUGAAUGGAAGGGCCAUCGCUCAACGGAUAAAAGGUACUCCGGGGAUAACAGGCUGAUACCGCCCAAGAGUUCAUAUCGACGGCGGUGUUUGGCACCUCGAUGUCGGCUCAUCACAUCCUGGGGCUGAAGUAGGUCCCAAGGGUAUGGCUGUUCGCCAUUUAAAGUGGUACGCGAGCUGGGUUUAGAACGUCGUGAGACAGUUCGGUCCCUAUCUGCCGUGGGCGCUGGAGAACUGAGGGGGGCUGCUCCUAGUACGAGAGGACCGGAGUGGACGCAUCACUGGUGUUCGGGUUGUCAUGCCAAUGGCACUGCCCGGUAGCUAAAUGCGGAAGAGAUAAGUGCUGAAAGCAUCUAAGCACGAAACUUGCCCCGAGAUGAGUUCUCCCUGAGACUUUAGGUCUCCUGAAGGAACGUUGAAGACGACGACGUUGAUAGGCCGGGUGUGUAAGCGCAGCGAUGCGUUGAGCUAACCGGUACUAAUGAACCGUGAGGCUUAACCUUACAACGCCGAAG
rnacentral:rRNA from 1 species